rnacentral:rRNA from 1 species
GACGAACGCAGGCGGCGUGCCUAAUACAUGCAAGUAGGACGCACAGUUUAUACCGUAGCUUGCUACACCAUAGACUGUGAGUUGCGAACGGGUGAGUAACGCGUAGGUAACCUACCUAUAAGAGGGGGAUAACUAUUGGAAACGAUAGCUAAUACCGCAUAACAGUAUGUAACACAUGUUAGAUGCUUGAAAGAUGCAAUUGCAUCGCUAGUAGAUGGACCUGCGUUGUAUUAGCUAGUAGGUAGGAUAAAGGCCUACCUAGGCAACGAUACAUAGCCGACCUGAGAGGGUGAUCGGCCACACUGGGACUGAGACACGGCCCAGACUCCUACGGGAGGCAGCAGUAGGGAAUCUUCGGCAAUGGGGGGAACCCUGACCGAGCAACGCCGCGUGAGUGAAGAAGGUUUUCGGAUCGUAAAGCUCUGUUGUUAAGGAAGAACGAGUGUGAGAAUGGAAAGUUCAUGCUGUGACGGUACUUAACCAGAAAGGGACGGCUAACUACGUGCCAGCAGCCGCGGUAAUACGUAGGUCCCGAGCGUUGUCCGGAUUUAUUGGGCGUAAAGCGAGCGCAGGCGGUUAGAAAAGUCUGAAGUGAAAGGCAGUGGCUCAACCAUUGUAGGCUUUGGAAACUGUUUAACUUGAGUGCAGAAGGGGAGAGUGGAAUUCCAUGUGUAGCGGUGAAAUGCGUAGAUAUAUGGAGGAACACCGGUGGCGAAAGCGGCUCUCUGGUCUGUAACUGACGCUGAGGCUCGAAAGCGUGGGGAGCGAACAGG